rnacentral:rRNA from 1 species
GUGGGGAAUUUUGGACAAUGGGCGCAAGCCUGAUCCAGCAAUGCCGCGUGCAGGAAGACGGCCUUCGGGUUGUAAACUGCUUUUGUACGGAACGAAACGGUCCGGGUUAAUACCCUGGGCUAAUGACGGUACCGUAAGAAUAAGCACCGGCUAACUACGUGCCAGCAGCCGCGGUAAUACGUAGGGUGCAAGCGUUAAUCGGAAUUACUGGGCGUAAAGCGUUCGCAGGCGGUUUUGUAAGACAGGCGUGAAAUCCCCGGGCUCAACCUGGGAAUUGCGCUUGUGACUGCAAGGCUGGAGUGCGGCAGAGGGGGAUGGAAUUCCGCGUGUAGCAGUGAAAUGCGUAGAUAUGCGGAGGAACACCGAUGGCGAAGGCAAUCCCCUGGGCCUGCACUGACGCUCAUGCACGAAAGCGUGGGGAGCAAACAGGAUUAGAUACCCGAGUAGUCC